rnacentral:sRNA from 1 species
UUAAAAAUAACAUAUAUUGGUUCAGGC